GGGGAUUUAGCUCAGUGGUAGAGCGCUUGCCUAGGAAGCGCAAGGCCCUUGGUUCAGUUCCCA
rfam:Rattus norvegicus chromosome 9, whole genome shotgun sequence.